rnacentral:rRNA from 1 species
GUGGGGAAUUUUGGACAAUGGGCGCAAGCCUGAUCCAGCAAUGCCGCGUGCAGGAAGAAGGCCUUCGGGUUGUAAACUGCUUUUGUACGGAACGAAACGGUCCUGGUUAAUACCUGGGGCUAAUGACGGUACCGUAAGAAUAAGCACCGGCUAACUACGUGCCAGCAGCCGCGGUAAUACGUAGGGUGCAAGCGUUAAUCGGAAUUACUGGGCGUAAAGCGUGCGCAGGCGGUUUUGUAAGACAGGCGUGAAAUCCCCGGGCUCAACCUGGGAACUGCAUCUGUGACUGCAUUGCUGGAGUGCGGCAGAGGGGGAUGGAAUUCCGCGUGUAGCAGUGAAAUGCGUAGAUAUGCGGAGGAACACCGAUGGCGAAGGCAAUCCCCUGGGCCUGCACUGACGCUCAUGCACGAAAGCGUGGGGAGCAAACAGGAUUAGAUACCCCGGUAGUCC